GGGGGGUGGGGUGGGAAGAGUGUAGCAGUGAGGACGACGAGAGGUCACUCUCGUCGCCAUUUUGUUUUUGGUGGUUUUUGUCUGGCUUCUUUACCGCAACCUGUUUUAUCAGCAAAGUCUUUAUAACCUGUAUUUUGUGCUGACCUCCUAUCUCAUCCUGUGACUUAGAAUGCCUUAACAACUGUCUGGAAUGCAGCCCGCUAUAUGCAGAUAUUCCAGCAGAGGAUCCUGAUACCAAAACGGAUUGCAGAGCCACAGGUUGAAAAUAGCAGAGACUCCAUGGUUCCCUCAAUGAUUGCAUGGAACAAUAACACAUGAUCCCUGUGAUGAUCUGUGGAGUGGCUGCAGCACCUGUGUUUCAGCCUGAAGAAUGGGCACAGAUAUUUCAUGAUUCUGAAGAAGAAUUGGAGGUGAGACUUGAGAAAAUGGAGAAAAAGAUAUGCUUUGGAUUUUCUUGAAGACUAGAAGCUUUCUUAACCAUCCACCACCUUGUUGACUGGUUAUUAUUCUCUCUACCUUCUGUGAAACAAACUGAUGGAUACUAAUGGCACAAUUACACUUAUAGCUAGUCAGUUGCAUAGUUUAUGCACAUAGUUCUGCUUCCAGUGUUUAGUAAUGAGUUAAACAUUUUGGCUAUAUUUGUCUCUGAAGCUAUAAUUUCAAUUAAUCAUUAUGUAUAGCAAUAAUAACAAGUAAAACAAAAAGAAGAAUUUUUUGUUUCUAUGGUAAUUAUGUUGGGUGCUUUGGAUCCUCCCAAUAAAGUUGACUUCCUAAAAUAAUUACACUUGAAUUAGGUAUAGAGAAGCUAAUUGUAACAAAUUGAAAGUUACUGUAAAUCUUCUAAUCGUAGUUCUCUGCAAGUGUACUUAAGUUAUUGCUCCACUUGAAAUAAAUGAAAACUGGAAAUCUGAGGUGAUGAAUUAUGGGUCCCUUUUAUGUAAGAAAGAUGACAAGGAAAUCUAAUCUGCUGAGUUAUACUAAAAUAAAAUACCUUGGCCUGGGAUCAAAUAUAGGUGAAAGAAUUAACAUUUAUGUUUUUUAAUUAAGAUAAAAUGUACAAGUUUUAUGUACAUAUUUUAUGAUUUCCUGAUAUAACAAAAAGUGUUGAUAAAAGCACCCAAUACUGAUUCUAAUGACAUUUGAUUAGCAUUAAAGAGUUGCUAUUAU
rnacentral:lncRNA from 1 species